rnacentral:rRNA from 1 species
AUUGAACGCUGGCGGCAGGCCUAACACAUGCAAGUCGAACGGUAACAGGAAGAAGCUUGCUUCUUUGCUGACGAGUGGCGGACGGGUGAGUAAUGUCUGGGAAACUGCCUGAUGGAGGGGGGUAAACAAUUGAAAAGGGAAGCUAUUACCCAAUACCGCCGCAAAACCAAAGAGGGGGACUUCCGGGCUCUUUGCAACCGGAUGGGCCCAGAUGGGAUUAGCUAGUAGGUGGGGUAACGGCUCACCUAGGCGACGAUCCCUAGCUGGUCUGAGAGGAUGACCAGCCACACUGGAACUGAGACACGGUCCAGACUCCUACGGGAGGCAGCAGUGGGGAAUAUUGCACAAUGGGCGCAAGCCUGAUGCAGCCAUGCCGCGUGUAUGAAGAAGGCCUUCGGGUUGUAAAGUACUUUCAGCGGGGAGGAAGGGAGUAAAGUUAAUACCUUUGCUCAUUGACGUUACCCGCAGAAGAAGCACCGGCUAACUCCGUG